rnacentral:rRNA from 1 species
AACGAACGCUGGCGGCAGGCUUAACACAUGCAAGUCGAACGCGAGAGGAGGGAGCUUGCUCCCUCUGAUCGAGUGGCGGACGGGUGAGUAACACGUAGGCAACCUGCCCAUCAGCCGGGGAUAACUGCGGGAAACCGUGGCUAAUACCGGAUAAUCCUCUCCACCGCGGGGUGGGGAGUUGAAAGACGGUUUCGGCUGUCGCUGAUGGAUGGGCCUGCGGCGCAUUAGCUGGUUGGCGGGGUAACGGCCCACCAAGGCAACGAUGCGUAGCCGCCCUGGGAGGGGGAUCGGCCACACUGGGACUGAGACACGGCCCAGACUCCUACGGGAGGCAGCAGUAGGGAAUCUUCCGCAAUGGACGCAAGUCUGACGGAGCAACGCCGCGUGAGUGAAGAAGGGUUUCGGCUCGUAAAACUCUGUUGUUAAGGAAGAACGCCAGGUAGAGUAACUGCUACCUGUGUGACGGUACUUAACCAGAAAGCCACGGCUAACUACGUGCCAGCAGCCGCGGUAA